UAAAGGAAACAGCUGGAAGCCUUUGCAGGUCAGGAAAGCGCGUGCGUCAUCGCGGCCAAGGGGAGCAGAGAGUCGCCAUGGAGCGGCCUGACCCACUCCAGCUAUGCUCUCCAAGUCUCCCCCCCUGCAUACGCGCAGUGCAGUUUCUCACCAGAUCACAGGGGGCCUGGGUUGAGCAUCACCUUCCACCCUCAGCCGGCCAUCUGAGUCUCCUGCAGAGGUCUGCCAGUACAGGAGAGCUCUACAGGAGCUCCUCCGUAGCCUGCCGGCACCGCUCUUGCUCAGGCUCAGGCUCAGCCCGUCAGUGCAAGACGCUUGUGCCUUCCCUUCAGCAGUGCUCCACGCGCAAAGUCCUACCAAGCGGGGGCCAUGGUCUUUGGGAAGGGGAGGACAUGUACAGCACCUGCGCACGGCCUGCUUCUUCUGCAAGUCCUCGGCAGCAAUGGCAACGAGACCUCUGGCGAGCGUUGGCCUGAGGAAGAAGAAGCAGAAUUGCUAUCAACCAGAUCGCUUCAGCCUUACGCAGCAUGACAAGGGAGCUAAGCAUUUCAGCUCCCUCGGGGCCAUCAGGCACAGUAUAAAUAGUUGCCUCGUCUCCCGGCCACUCUA